AAGUAUUGGUCAUGGCGAAAUUGCCAGAACAUCCAAACAUUGUUGCCUAUCGAGAAGCCUGGUUUGAAGGCACGUUACAACAAACAUUAACUGAAUGGCUACGACGACCUGAAUCCAUGCCACCACCAACUCCUGUUCUAAAAGAUGCCCCUAAACGUCAAAUCGUUGUCACUGAAGCGGAGAAGAAUACCUUCAUGUGCAUAAAAAUGGAACUAAUGGACACCAAUCUUUACCACU